rnacentral:tRNA from 6 species
GGAUGUAGCUCAGUUGGUUAGAGCGUCGGAUUGUGGUUCCGAAGGUCGAGGGUUCGAGCCCCUUCUUC